rnacentral:rRNA from 3 species
CUUAUAUUCUGUAGCAAGGUUAACCGUAUAGGGGAGCCGAAGGGAAACCGAGUCUUAACUGGGCGUUAAGUUGCAGGGUAUAGACCCGAAACCCGGUGAUCUAGCCAUGGGCAGGUUGAAGGUUGGGUAACACUAACUGGAGGACCGAACCGACUAAUGUUGAAAAAUUAGCGGAUGACUUGUGGCUGGGGGUGAAAGGCCAAUCAAACCGGGAGAUAGCUGGUUCUCCCCGAAAGCUAUUUAGGUAGCGCCUCGUGAACUCAUCUUCGGGGGUAGAGCACUGUUUCGGCUAGGGGGUCAUCCCGACUUACCAACCCGAUGCAAACUGCGAAUACCGAAGAAUGUUAUCACGGGAGACACACGGCGGGUGCUAACGUCCGUCGUGAAGAGGGAAACAACCCAGACCGCCAGCUAAGGUCCCAAAGUCACAGUUAAGUGGGAAACGAUGUGGGAAGGCUCAGACAGCCAGGAUGUUGGCUUAGAAGCAGCCAUCAUUUAAAGAAAGCGUAAUAGCUCACUGGUCGAGUCGGCCUGCGCGGAAGAUGUAACGGGGCUAAACUGUGCACCGAAGCUGCGGCAGCGACGCUUAUGCGUUGUUGGGUAGGGGAGCGUUCUGUAAGCCUGCGAAGGUGUCCUGUGAGGGAUGCUGGAGGUAUCAGAAGUGCGAAUGCUGACAUAAGUAACGAUAA